rnacentral:tRNA from 1 species
UCCGCCGUGGUGUAGUGGCUAGCAUUUGUCGCUUUCAACCCAGAGCGCCGACAAGACCCGGGUUCAAUUCCCGGCGGCGGAA